rnacentral:ncRNA from 1 species
UAAUAAAAGAGUUUGAUCCUGGCUCAGAAUGAACGCUAGUGGUUAGCUUAACACAUGCAAGCUAAAAAAUUUUAUGAGGUAUAAAAUUAGUAGCGAACGGGUGAGUAAUGCGUAAAAAUUAACCUUAAAAAAUUGUUAAAUACAUUCAAAAUUAAAUUGUUUUAAGAAAAGUUUACGUAAGAUUAAGUCGUUGGUAAUUUAAUAGAGUACCAAGCUUACGAUCUUUAGUUGGUCUAUGAGGAUGAACAACCACAUUGGAAUUGAGAUACGGUCCAAACUUAAUUAAAAGGCAGCAGUGAGGAAUAUUAGGCAAUGGGUGAAAGCUUGACCUAGCUAAACCACAAGUGUGAUGAAAGUAAAAUACUUUAAAACACUUUUUUUAAAAUAAAUAAUGAUUUUAAUAAAAUAGUCCUGGCUAAUUUCGUGCCAGCAGCCGCGGUAAAACGAGAAGGGCAAGCGUUAUUCGGAUUAAUUGGGCGUAAAGAAUACGUAGGUUGAAAAUUUAAUUUUAAGACAAAUUUUAAAGUUUAUUUUUAAUUAAUCUAAAAAAUUGAUUUUCUAGAGUUUGAAGAGAAGAUUACAGAAUUUUGAAUGUAACGGUAAAAUGUUUUGAUAUUUAAAAGAAUUUCAAUAGCGAAAGCAGUAAUCUAGAAUAAAACUGACACUGAGGUAUUAAAGUGUGGGUAGCAAAAGGGAUUAGAUACCCCUGUAGUCCACACCCUGAACGAUAAGUGUUCAUUUUUGAAGAUUCAGAAAUGUAACUAACGUGUUAAACACUUCGCCUGGGAACUACGAUUGCAAAAUUAAAACUCAAAGGAAUUGACGGGGACUUACACAAGCAGUGGAGCAUGUGGUUUAAAUCGACAAUCCGCGCAGAAUCUUACCAAUUUUUGUAUAAUUAAUUACAGGUGUUGCAUGGCUGUCGUCAGUCCGUGCUGUGAAGCGUUUGGUUCAUUCCAAUAAACGGACAAAACUCUUCUAUAUUUUCGAAUAUAAACUGCUAAAGAUAUCUUGGAGGAAGGUAAGAAUGACGUCAAGUCCUCAUGACCCUAAUAAAUUGGGCUACUUUCAUGUGCUACAAUAAUUUUUUCAAAUAGUAGCAAAAACGUAAGUUUUAGCAAACCUUUUAAACAAAAUUAUAUUCGGAUUAUUUUCUGAAAUUCGAAAAUAUGAAGUUGGAAUUGCUAGUAAUCGUAAAUUAGAAUGUUACGGUGAAUUUGUUCUUAAGUCUUGUACACACCGCCCGUCACGCUAUGGAAAUUCUUUUUGCUUGAAAAACGUUUAACAAUUUUAUAGUAAAAGAAAAACUGGAGUGAAGUCGUAACAAGGUAGCCGUAGGGGAACCUGUGGCUGGAAAAUAAUUAAA